GAUGAACGCUAGCGGGAGGCUUAACACAUGCAAGUCGAGGGGCAGCACGAGGUAGCAAUACUUUGGUGGCGACCGGCGCACGGGUGAGUAACGCGUAUGCAACCUACCCUGUACAGGGGGAUAACCCGGAGAAAUUCGGACUAAUACCCCAUAAAGAUAUUUAGAGGCAUCUUUGAAUAUUUAAAGUUCCGGCGGUACGGGAUGGGCAUGCGUAACAUUAGCUAGUUGGUAAGGUAACGGCUUACCAAGGCAACGAUGUUUAGGGGUCCUGAGAGGGUGAUCCCCCACACUGGUACUGAGACACGGACCAGACUCCGACGGGAGCCAGCAGUGAGGAAUAUUGGUCAAUGGUCGCAAGCCUGAACCAGCCAUCCCGCGUGAAGGAAGAAUGCGCUAUGCGUUGUAAACUUCUUUUCCAGGGGAAUAAAAUUUUGUACGUGUACGGAAUUGAAGGUACCCUGGGAAUAAGCAUCGGCUAACUCCGUGCCAGCCGCCGCGGUAAGAC
rnacentral:rRNA from 1 species